rnacentral:rRNA from 1 species
GAUGAACGCUGGCGGCGUGCUUAACACAUGCAAGUCGAGCGAAGCACUUAAGCGGAUUUCUUCGGAAUGAAGCUUAUUGACUGAGCGGCGGACGGGUGAGUAACGCGUGGGUAACCUGCCUCAUACAGGGGAAUAACAGUUGGAAACGACUGCUAAUGCCGCAUAAGCGCACAGGACCGCAUGGUCCGGUGUGAAAAACUCCGGUGGUAUGAGAUGGACCCCGCGUCUGAUUAGCUAGUUGGUGAGGUAACGGCCCACCAAGGCGACGAUCAGUAGCCGACCUGAGAGGGUGACCGG